rnacentral:ncRNA from 1 species
GAUUGGCUUCGGGGCAGGGUGAUAUUCCCGACCGGCGGAAAAAGUCCGCAAACCGCGCACAAGCGGGAGAACUAGUGAGACUCUAGUACCGACAGUAUAGUCUGAUAGGAGAAGGCCAAG